UACGAAGGGGGCUAGCGUUGUUCGGAAUCACUGGGCGUAAAGCGCACGUAGGCGGACUUUUAAGUCAGGGGUGAAAUCCCGGGGCUCAACUUCGGAAUUGCCUUUGAUACUGUUGGUCUCGAGUCCGGAAGAGGUGGGUGGAAUUCCUAGUGUAGAGGUGAAAUUCGUAGAUAUUAGGAAGAACACCGGUGGCGAAGGCGGCCCACUGGUCCGGUACUGACGCUGAGGUGCGAAAGCGUGGGGAGCAAACAGG
rnacentral:rRNA from 1 species